ensembl:lncRNA
GGGCCUUGUUUACCAGCGCUUGGUCUCCCCAUGUCAUUCUUCCCUUUAACUUCCAGCUGAGUCUCCAUCUGGAGCGCGGAACCCACCACGCUUACUAAUCAUGCCUGGGCUUCUAAGACCCACUCGAGAAAGAGUCUAGGGUGAGACACCUUCCGCUAUUCGAGAGGGCGCCUGCGGCCUACCAUAUAAAUAGUCGCCUAGGCCGUCUCUCCUUCGAAUACCCUGGAUCAGCUGGGGCUGGUCCCCGGCACAUAGUGCUUCAACUUCCCUGUUGGUCCAGUGGUUAAGAAUCCACCUGCCAAUGCAGGGGAUACAGGUUUGUUCCCUGGUCCAUGAAGAUCCCACAUGCCAUGGAGCAACUAAACCCAUGCACCACCAAAACUACUAAGCCUGCUUGCCUAGAACUUGUGCUCUGCAACAAGAGAAGCCACUGCAACGAGAAGCC